UGCGUGAAAUUAAAAAACAAACAAACAAUUUCUGGUUGGCUAGCAUCACAUAGGUACACUAAGUAAAUGUAAUCUCUCAAGUGUAUAUAUCACUAUCUUUAAAAAUUUUUAAUGUGUGUGUAUUUUAACUUUAAUUGUGAGUAUUAUUAUUAAAAACUGACUACCACAUCAUUCCUCUGCUUUGAGUCAUGAUUAGAGAGAGAAGUAUGAGAGAAAAAGGUGGUUUCUUUGUUUCACUAGAACUAUCCAACGAAUUUUCUGUGUUUUCACAUUCUAGGGUUUUUACGAGAACUCCAGAAACUAGUCCUACAGAGUAAUCAGCUGACCAGUCUGCCUCGAGCCAUUGGUCAUCUCACAAGCCUCACCUAUCUCAGUGUGGCUGAAAAUAACAUUGGCUUUAUUCCAGAAGAAAUAAGUUCGUUGGAAAAUCUAGAAUCCUUGUACUUGAAUGACAAUCCUAAUCUACACAGUUUACCAUUUGAACUGGCUCUCUGUAACAAUCUUCAAAUCAUGAACGUGGAAGGCUGCCCACUCUCACAGAUCCCACCUGAGAUAGCCAGUGGUGGGUCAUCAUUAAUCAUACAGUACCUGAAGAUGAAAGGACCCUACAGAACCAUAUGAAAGAGUAUUUAGGGUAAAGUUAUUAUUGGUUCCCUUUGCUGGAAAUGCACGUACCUAGUAUGUGCUUUGUGUCUCUUGAUGUGGAGUUGUCAGGCGAUGCCCUCUGGGGGUGGAGACCAUGCUGCAUGCUGUCCCGGUCAGAUCUUAACAUGACCCGAGUGGAGGAUUGGCAGAUGUUGGUGUGUGUUUGUGUUUGCAUAACUAGUGGUUGUCCAAUCACAACUAGGGACUUUUUUUUUCAACUGUCACCCCUCCUGGUGGACAACUGUGCAUGCAUCAAUCCUGUAAUUUGUGUAGAGCUUUGUGAAGAUGAAGACAACUGGCCACACGGCUGACCACUGGACAGCUUAUUGACUUGGUACAUAGCAGAUGUGUAUACAUGUUAUCUUGUGUUAACUGUGACUGUUUAAACUGUAUCCGUGACUUUUCUUGUCAUUGUUCAGUUUACACCUUUAGUUAGCUGUUCUGCCGACUUGCUAGUAAUCAAACACAAAGUAUAUCUGACAUUUUAAGUCUCAAAACCGAAGUUACCACUUAUAAGACUAGCAUCAAAACUAAAUAUAGAUUUGAAUAAUUGAAACAGACAAGAAUGUAACUGCUUUAAUCAUCCACUUAUUAUACACAUCUAACUGAUAGAUACGUGAGCACGUUAAUUAAUCUCUAUGUGUUACGUACUUGUUAGUAAUUUAUCUUGAAAAGUAACACACAAAUUGGAGUAGUAUCAUUAGAAUACAAAACUGAACCCUUAUAAAUAAUAGUGAUGUACAGUAAAAGUUAUUCUAAAGAUGUAUUUCUGUUCGAUUUUGGUAAGGAAGUUCACUAAUGUAUUUUUAUUGUUGUUAGUAAUAUUAUAAUUUGUACCAAAAUGGGAAAAUCAACUUUCUAAACUUAUGAAGUUUUAGUCCUGUCCCAUUUAUUGAGUAGUAGUAGUACGAAGGAGGUGUCCCGUUUGUCAGCUUCAGAUCAUAUACAAGUAAUAUUAUUUCACCUUUUAACUGUAUCUUCCACAGUUUUGUAAAGUGAAACACCUGAGGUAUUGUUAAUGUGCCAGUGUUUUCCAAUAUGCUGAUGUUGGCUAGUAAAAUUUGGGAUUGAAUUUUAUGAGUAGGUUCAUUAUGUGUUAUAUAUUUGCAAUUCUAAAGGUGUUAUAAAAUACAAGUGUGAUGAAUGCUGGAUUUUAAAACUUGUUGGUUUAACAUCAGAUAAUUUAAGUUGUUAAAAGUAUAAACUCUGUUUACGAGCCAUUUUGUACUUUACGUUUUGAAGUUUAAAACUUGUUUUACUUCAAAGCAAUUUGAACCUAAAAUAGAUGAAUAAUUUAUUACCUAAAGUUUUUUUUUCUAUUGAACUAUAUCUUGUUGGGGUCUGAUCGAUACAAAACGAUAAAGUAAUGAGAGAUUGAUUUGUUAAUUUUAAGAAAAUGUUAAGUCUGACAUUUUCAAUUAUAAAAAGUAUUACCACAUAUAAAAAAAAAGUGAAUUGGAGAAAUCAGUAGGCUAGUUAUUGAAAGAAUGCACUAUUCAGAGAAUUUAGCCAAGAAAUGGUAAGUAGUUAAAUCUACUGAUAAUAUGAAUGUUCCUUAAGGAGAGCUAAUCGUAAGUGUAAAAAGAAUUGUUGUAAUGAUUUAUUGAGUUUGGUCAGUUUAUUAUUUUGUACCAGCCAAUAGGACAGCUUCUUACCACAUCCACACUGUCCGAGUUAGAAAUGUUCUCUUGCUCGUAAGGGAUUAUUAUGUCUGUGUUUCAAAGACAGUUUUCUCAGCUUCUUGUUAUCGUGUGGUAAACUCACAAGCAGAGGCAGAUGGAAUCUGCUGGAAGUCUUAUAACUUUGCAUUUAUAUGUAAUGUGGACCAUGCAAUACAAAUUAAGAUACAAGGUCAACCAUUCACAAAACAUAUAUGAAUUAUAAAACUGAGAAAGUUUGGGUUAAGAUUAUGUCCACCAGUAAAAUCACUCGGUGUAAACCGCUGUAGUCAGAUGUAGCACGUGUGGUCCAAUAGUCACUUAACCUCACUUAGUGUGGUAAAACUUUACUGUCAGAUGAUAUAUAUAUAUAGUGGUUUCACUUUGCUGCAAGUAAUGUUAACCAGCCAGAUUCUUGUCUGUAGAUAAUGUUGCUACAAAUUUUAAGUUGAAAUGUAGAACUUCUUAUAUGAAUAUUUUUCUGGGAAUACAGCUGCUUUCUCUUGUUAUUGACAAUGCUGUGGAGCACACACGCUUGUGUAUCAUGAAGUUAUCCUUCUUGACCACAUCCUCUAAUUGGUUGUAGGUGUGAUGUAGGAGUAUCUUUAUCCAGGAAGCUGGUUUAUGUAAUGUAGGAGUAUCUUCAUCCAACAAACUGGCUUACUGGUUGUGGUUUUUGCCAUUUUUCUAGUAACUAAAGAAUCUCUAAGUCAGCCAAGUAGAUAAUGGAGUUAAUCCAGUACAGCCAACAUGUUUGCACUGGAUGUACCAAUGUAUGUAAAGUACCAUACUUUGUCUCCUGGUCGAUGUACCAGCAUAUGUGAAGUAACAUCUGUUGUUUCCUGGUCGAUGUACCAGCAUAUGUGAAGUACCAUCCUUUGUCUCCUGGUCGAUGUACCAGCAUAUGUGAAGUAACAUCCUUUGUCUCCUGGUCGAUGUACCAGCAUAUGUGAAGUAACAUCCUUUGUCUCCUGGUCGAUGUACCAGCAUAUGUGAAGUAACAUCUGUUGUUUCCUGGUCAAUGUACCAGCAUAUGUGAAGUAACAUCUGUUGUUUCCUGGUCGAUGUACCAGCAUAUGUGAAGUAACAUCUGUUGUUUCCUGGUCGAUGUACCAGCAUAUGUGAAGUAACAUCUGUUGUUUCCUGGUCGAUGUACUAGCAUAUGUGA